rnacentral:rRNA from 1 species
CCUACGUGAGGCAGCAGUGAGGAAUAUUGGUCAAUGGGCGCGAGCCUGAACCAGCCAAGUAGCGUGAAGGAUGACUGCCCUACGGGUUGUAAACUUCUUUUAUAAAGGAAUAAAGUGAGGCACGUGUGCCUUUUUGUAUGUACUUUAUGAAUAAGGAUCGGCUAACUCCGUGCCAGCAGCCGCGGUAAUACGGAGGAUCCGAGCGUUAUCCGGAUUUAUUGGGUUUAAAGGGAGCGUAGAUGGGUUGUUAAGUCAGUUGUGAAAGUUUGCGGCUCAACCGUAAAAUUGCAAUUGAUACUGGCAGUCUUGAGUACAGUUGAGGAGGGCGGAAUUCGUGGUGUAGCGGUGAAAUGCUUAGAUAUCACGAAGAACUCCGAUUGCGAAGGCAGCUUACUAAACUGCCACUGACAUUGAUGCUCGAAAGUGUGGGUAUCAAACAGGAUUAGAUACCCGAGUAGUC